GAUCUCUUUAACCAUAGUGGAUGAUUAUGUUGUGUAGAAUGUGGGAACAGAAGGCAAGAGUGAGUCAUGUUGGUUGUGGUUGUCCUGUGAAAUUUAUCGGUUUACCAGGGUGAUACAUGGCAUCCAGCGAUGCACAGGACCUCCCUGUGUGGUCCAUGCUCAGCAGGGUCCUUCUGCACUGGCUGCACGGGCAUUUCAUCAGAAAAAAAGUAUCCCACAUGAAUAGCAGUGAAAAACCAAGCCUGGGAGACAAGAUCACUUGCACUGAGCCUGUUAGGUGUAAGGAGCUUAGGUGUAAGGAGCAUUUGUAAGGAAAGCUGAGCACCAUACUGCGUAGUGUUCUCUUCAUGAGACUCCUUGAAAUCAAAAGCCUCAAAGGGUGAAGAAGGCCAUGAACCCAAGAAACAGGUGAAUCAAAGGCAAAGUAGUUGCUUGAAGAGGAGGAAACUUGAAAUCAAGGUUGCAGGAAACCAGGGUUCCUAAUAGGAUAAUGCAGGUAAUACUAUCACACAACACUAAGACAAUACAGAGCUAAUUAGCUCAAAUAUUUGCUGACAAUGUGGGUUUUGAGGAGAGGGGGGCAUGGGCUUUCAUAAAACUUAAUUAACUCAUAGAGGAAAUCAGUUUCAUUCAUUGCCACAACAGAGCCAAUCAAGAUAGACUUACUGUUUGCUCAUUUGGAAAACAAUUAGGAUUCCUAUUUAGACUUAAUUACAGUGCAAAGGUUGACAAUUAUCAUCUUUGUGGAAGCACUGGAUGCCACAAUAUCUCUGUUGAACACGUGCCUAUAAUUAUAGACAUCAUUUUCUUAGCAGAAAAUGUAACCCAUUUAUUACCUGGAUUUCAUGCCUGUAAUCAGAGAUAGUAGAAAUAAUUAAAAAAAAAAAAAAAAAAAAGAAAAAAGAAGGUGGGUGGUGCUAAAUUAUUUUGGAUCUUUCCAUAGUGAAUUACUUUGUGCAACUCUUUGCUACUAAUUGAAAACUUGGUUUGUACGUUAUACUCCUCAUGGAAGGAGGAAUAGACGUACAGAGGAAUCAAACUAGCCACAUGGUCAUAUUUUGACACUGCUGACAAUGUCACUGCCUUAAAUUGGUUUGGUUCAUAAACCCUUCCUGAUACCUCCCUCAAGUUUGCUGUGUUACACAGGUGCAUACUUAUCAUCCAAAUCAUUGCAGAAACAAGCUGUUGCGAGAAACUUGAUCAGUCACUUUAGAAAAUCAUGGCUUGAUCUGAGCCAGAACUGAAUAGACUUAGCCUGUUGACCAAAAUAAACCACAUUAAUAUUAAAGUUUGCAAGAAGUGUUUGACUACAGUCGUGUUUAAUACUGCAAAACACAAAUGAUAAACAGGUUGAGAUUCCUCCCAUUUGCCAGCCCAGAUCCCUCCAGGAGAUGGUUUCAAUUCAUUGCAUCCAGGGGCUGCACCACAGCUGAGAUAAGAGAAAAAGAAAGUUCAAAACGUUUUACAGAUGUUAAUUACAGAUAAGGCAGGAGGUAAGAUGAGGAUGUAAGAAACCCAAGCUUGCUUCAGUCAGAUUUGUAACUGUCCCUGGGUCUCUGUUUAUUCCAUGGGCUCAUAAAGAAGCUGUGGGAGAGGGACAUUUGCAGGGAGCAGCGACGGCUUAGUGUAAUGCCAAGCACUGAACAGGCAUCACGUUUUACAACAAAGCUGAAUUAGUUCCUUCCCUUAGUUUCAGUGGCAUUUCUUUCCAAGCCAGGGUGAGGUGGAAGAACACAGGACUCCAACCUUCUUAUGCUUGCAUUGCAUGGGAUGUAUCUGAUCCUAGAGUAACACCUGGACCUCCUGGGGAAAUGUUGUAUGCCUGUGUCUGGAUGAGAUGGAAAGCAGUUUUCAAAUCUCAGUUCACCUGAUGGAUGUGGAAAGGAAGCCAGGGGAGAUGAGGACACCCUACCAGAAACAAGUUGCCUUCUCAUUCUUAGUAUACAAGAAAUCUCCGUUGUCCAGAUGACAGUAACAGCAAAACCUAUUUCAUGAUCCUGUCCCAUGAAGAAGCUCGUCCUAGGAGGGGAGCCCGUUGCCUUUGGUACGCUGAGCCUGGCCGUUCCCACCGAAGCCUGAUUUCAUGUGAGAUUGUCGAGUACAUCAAAGCAGAAGGACGACAAAUGAUCUGAAGUGUUCUCCUGAGAGCCUGACUUGCUGCUUCAAGAAAUUUGUUCGGGCUUCCAUUAUCACUGUGCCAGUGUGAGAUGAAAUGUGAAGACAAGGCAGUUCACAGUUUUAAGAGGAUUUUCCUUGAGCCCCAUUUCUUCACUGCUGCCACAAGCAUGAGUAUCUUUGAGACAUUCUCUUUGGAAGGCCAAAAUGUUCCAAAACUUUCAGGCAAAGCUCAAUUUCCAUCUUCUGAGAUAUUUUUCAAUCAUCACUGUUAUUUCAGACUUGUUUCUUUCGAUGGAGCAGACAUAGAUGAGGGGGGAAAAUUGUUAAUAAGAACAGCAGACAACAGCAGAAAACAGCAGACAGGACAUUGCAGACUGUAUCUGUCUCAUGAAAUGCUAUUUGCUGCCAACACAUCCCAGUAAAGAAAGUCUGGUCUACCCUGGAAUAAAUGAGAAAAAUAAAGUGAAGAGACACUUUCAGGUAUGUCCUGAGAAGCUCUACUGAGUAACACAGUUUGAAUCUUUGACAUUUUUUAUUGCAUCUCGGUAGCUACUUUCAUUUCAGGCAGGAAAUUGGUAGUUUGACUGUCUUUUAUUUCCAUUUACCACUACAGCAAAAUUGAACCUUUGAUUUUUUGGAACUAUACCAUCUCCAAGAGAAAUCAGUAGCUAACAUUGUCAUUCAGACAAACACAAAGCAGAGCUGGUUUGAGUUUUGCAAAGCCUACGGGGACAUUUUGACAUGCAGAAAUGAAUACCCAAAUGCCCUUGGCUGCCUCGGGGAUUUCCGGCAGCGUCUGCAGGAUGAGAGGGAAGAAUUCCAGGGUUAAAAACAGCUGAAAAUGUUCCAUCAUAGUGUCCCAGCCUAGUGAGACUCUUUAGUCUCACUCAUCUUACAUGGAUUUAAGCUUGUGCUUGUUAAGGUUAGAUGCUAAAUUCAGCAGCAACCCACUGCUUUUCCAAGAGGACUGUAGCUCCUUUUCUUACUUGGGAAUUAUUUGGGAAGUAAACCUAGACUCUUUCAAGUCUUUUCUUCCAAUAUUCAUUAACAAGUUUAGACGACAUACUCUCUGAUUCAACUGUUUCCUAUUCAAUUUACGUGACGAGUGAACUAAGCCACACAAUGUAAUUCUUUUUCCCAGAUUUGGAUGACUGCAACACGCUGAAGAAGAAAAUUUUCACCUUGUUUACUUGUAAGAGUUUUGAAUGAUCGGUUGCUUAUGUCAAAGGAAUUAGCAAAGGGAUUUAUCAACAUACUUGCACAGAUCCCCACUUGUCAGGAUAUGUGGGAGCUAAAACUCCAUGAGUCAGUGCAAACUCAGGACUCCAUGCCAUGAGAGUGUGUCCUCAUGCAACUAGAGCAGCUUGAAGCACCGUGCACACCCUGACCUGAUCAGGAGGUAUAAAUAACCCUCCUUGUGAAACACAUUUAGCCACAGACAGCAUCAAAGUUUACGUGGGACCUGAAAGAGAUAGCCAAACCUCAACAGGAUCAAAAGUUAGAUAAACAUCCUAACGCUCAGAUACUAACGUGAGUGCUCUCCAAACCUGUCCAAGCCAUCUGGGCCCAGCUUAUUAACCCAGCAGUAUCAUGAGAAAUGGUUUUCUCACAAGGUUUCUGAUGCUUCCUCUUGUUUGACAGGCAGGAAAUACCAUGAGAAGAGCUUUUCUUGCUGGAGUUCAUCAUUUUCGGUAUGAGAGGCCAUCAGGAAGUGCAGAGGCAGCGCAAAAAUGAAAAACAGUGUGCUGGGGUUGGGAUGUAGGGGGAGAAAGGAUAUCAAGAAGGAAAGUUAAUCAAGUUAACAGGAUAGUCUUCAGAGGCAUUGGCACAUGUGGGAAUGGGCUGCUGUGCCGGGCGGUAGCGGGAUGUGGUUCUGGAAGAGCAACUCGCCCCACUUGUUCAUCCAGCCCAGGUAAUAACAUUUCCCUGUGACUGAGGAAUGCAGCAGGAUGAGAAACUCUGUUGAAAUGAGAAGCUGCAAGUGCAGCUCUAAGACAAACUUUGCAGCUCUAAAAAGAAUUUUCUACGUAAGGAUCUCAAAUCAGUAACGUGAAUCUUGAUGAUGUUGUCACUUCACAGUGUACUGGGAAGGCUCAUCAUCCACUGUAUUUUUAAAUUAUCAUUUAUUUUUUAUUUUGCAGGGUUCUAAUUAAACACUGGGCUACCUACUAACAUAUCUGGCAUCAUCUCAUUGCUCCAGGGUGACAGGAGAGCAGCAAUGGCCUCUGGUGAUGGAUUCAGCAGUGUACAGCUGUGCAGGUUUGCUACAGCAUGAGCAAACGGAGGAUUCUUUGUGUGCAAGUCUCAGGCUGUGUACACAUGUGCGUGAACUCUCCAAAAGCAAACAACUAGCCUUUGUGAAGCCAAAUUCCAAACAAGAAACCAGCUCAGCAGCUGUGAAAGGUGUCUCUGUGUUUCAUUGUUGAUAAAAGUACAACCCACGGUGACUCAAACCUCAGGAUGUGGUGGGAAGCUGAGAAGAAAAGAAAGAUAGAGUGAGGGGAGAAAGGGAAAAAAAAACGCUCUUCUCAGGAUGAGGAGUUCAGACACGCCAGAUUUCUUUGGCUCAGGCAUUGCUGUCAUGAGCCUUGCAGACGUUUAGUGUUUGAUUCCCUGGUUUCUUUUCACUUGGCACUGAGUGUGAGGAUUUUGAAAACAGUAUCGCAAAGUGUGUUAAAUUGCAAAGCUGACCUUUGAGUGCCACAAACAGCAUCUCCUUUGAAUGCUACAGAUUGACAGUGCAGGCAGGAACCUGUCGGGUGAUGGCUGUCACCAAUCUGUCAUUAACCUGCAUUCGCCCACUGUGGCAUAAAUGUCGAUGAUUGUUUUCCUCCACUCCAGCUCUUUCUUGAACACUUCUGGGAAAGCAGAAGGCAGCCACCUGAAGGACAGGGACUUGGCAUGGAAAAGGGGAAAGGGAAAAUGUAGUCUGGAAGCUGGAUACUAAAAGUAGGCAUUGAUUUCCUGUCAGAGAGGUGAAGUUCAAAUUUGCUACGUUGCUUGGGCUUGAAAGGCAUUUAGCCAGUUCUUGGGACUACCAGGCGUGCUGUGUUCAGAUGCAAUAAAGCUUCAGGAUUCGUUCUGGGGCCCCAGGUUUCACUGCACCAGCUCCAGCCAUCUGACUUAGACCCAACUUCUUGCUGAAGCACCAAGAGUGACUUGAAGCUUGGUGGCUUCCUAUGAUGCUGUUGUCAGAUAUUUAGCUCUAGAAGCACCAGCUCAGGCAUGAGGAAGGAACAGAAAUUAUCUGUAGCAGAUAGUACCCAAGCAGCAGAACAGGUAUUUUUGCUACUGGACAUGUGUCUCCUGCACUUUCAGCGAUAGAGGAGUGCAGUUACAAUGUGAAUGAAUUGAGAGCAGAACGAUGUAAAGGAUGAAGAAGGUAAGAAAUUGAGCAAAUCGUGCGUAGGCUGUAUGGGCAUUUACUGCUGGGCAUAAUAAGGGAUCUUAUACGCACACACACUACGUGUGUGUGGAUACAACACAUACAUAAAAUAAAUGUGUUUGUUUAUCAGUGCAUUUCCUGAGUAGCUGUGGUUUUUUAAUAGCACUAUACCUUUAUCUCUACAAAUGAAUAACACUAUUAGGUUUGAUCUCUAAUUAUAUUCCGAACACCAAUAAACCCCCCAACAUUUCUGGUUGUCUUUAAGUAGAAUAAAAGCCAAACAAAAUCACCAAAAGAAAACAAGGUGGUUGGUGGAGUCUCACUACCCACUUGUUGGUGGUCAGGAGUAGAACUGAGUAAAUAAAUUAUUACAGCCAUUUGAUGAUUGCAGACCUGUCUAAUUUUUCUCAGUAUCCUGUGAACAGACUUUAUUUUUUGUACAUAUUUAUAUUCUUUGAAAUUUUUGAUACAUAUUUUGGAUAAACACUGCUAGUAAAGUAGUUUUUAGCUGUAUUCAGGGCUGUUAGUGGUAUUUGUGUGACAUUCAGUACGUCCUUUAAAUCAUGUGGUACUUUAUGUGCUUAUACUUAGCUGAAAACACCAUAAAACAGAGGGUGAAAAAAAUCAGAGAUUUUUACAUCAUCAUAUAGGCACUUGCCUAAAUUGUUGAAUGGCUGCAAGGGUGGACAGUAUCACCCAGUACUGUUUCAGUAAAAAGAAAUGGGUGGUUUUAAUCCUUCAUAAAUGAUACAUUUUUUUCCAAAUCAUUAUAAGGUUUUAGUUAAUUUUUAAUGGUGCAAUAAUCUUCAAAGAUAUUUUACCUUCACUCAUUUCUUGUUGGGAUGACUUCCAUAGGAACAAAGAAGCCCCUUGCUGUAAGGCAACUGUCUCUGGGGUGAAGCACUUCUGGUGAACUCCAGCACAGAAGCAAAACAGAUCUGUGCCUGAAACUCCUUUCCGUACCAGUCUCCCCUGCUCAUUUUCCCAAGAAAAUCCUUCAUCGUCUACAAUGAUGUAAAAUAUUUGUAUAACAGUGGUAUGUUAUGUACAUACAUGACCAUGGCAAGAUGUAAUAGCAUCUCCUCAUCUUUUGAAGUUUUUCCUCCCUCCAUACUCUCCAUGGUUUUAUUCCUGGCGGGCUGGCAAAGCCUCUCUGGUCUCUGUGUUGCAGCAGAUGAGAAGUAGAGGGUAACUUAUGCACUGGCCACUCACAGAUGCCAAUGGUCCUUGUAUAUGUGGCCUACAUAUCCUAACCAACCAACCUACCUACCUGAAAAUGAGCAAGGCAAAGCAAGACCAUCCAGGCUGGGGCAUCCCUAGAGCUAUUCCCAUCUUUCCUCUAUAGAUCUUCUGGCCCUGCUGGCAGUAUGGUUCUAAGGCAACAUCAUUUCUCCCUGUCUUUGCAACAGUCUUGGCUUUCUGGGUGUAUGUUAAAGACUGCCUGGUAGGGCAAAUGAACCAUCUGUGGCAUAGAUGAACACAUGCAAUGAAUGAGCUACUAAUUUAAUCUGGUGAUUAAGGAGGAUUAUUUCUCAUACCAGCUCUUUACAAGCAACAAGUUGACAUGAUUCCCUCCCCCUGAGUCUGUUUCCAGUUCUACUCCUGCUAUUUUACUUCUUUACUUCAGUCACAUCCUUUCCUAAAAGGUCUCUAGUACCUAACAUUUAAUUCACACGUUGUUCCCUUGUAUCUUCUGUGUGCAUGAAUUAAACUAUUGUAAACAACAGCAGCUUAUCUCUUCUCCUUUAUUGAAUCUGGAGUUUGUUAAUACAUCCAUUAGCCUUAUAUCACAGAAAACAAUUAACCAAUGUGUUUGAUCUUAAAAGAAUCAAUUUAUCUUAGUUAAGUGUUUGUGUCUCACAGCACAAAGCCUUGCACAGCACACCUCUGGUCCAGAGUCCUUCUGCAGCACCAAGAACAUCCUUUAGAUCAUACAAGAAAGGCAUACCUGACAUUUUGUGAUAAAUUGAAAUGCAUUUCACAGCACUCUCUGGCAUACACUGUAACUAAGAUCAACAUCUCUAAGUGUAUAAUAAUGCAGAUGAUGAUGAUAAUGAUGGUACUGCUGCUCACCUAUUUGCUGCAGGAAAAGAGUUGACUGCAAGAUGUACUAUGAGGGUUCCUGUAUGUUUGCUCUUUGCUUUCUUAAUGGAAAGGAAAAGGAAAACAAAAACUGAGGACUCAAGAUGGAAGAAAACAAAGCAGAUCCUGAAGCAAAACCCACAACAUCUUUCCCAAAAACAAAUAAACAUCGGUAUUAUUAUUUAUUGCAAUACCAGCCCCUUUUUGACAAGCGCUGCUCUGCAAAGGUGUGCCUUUCCUGGAGUUACGCUGGGACCCAUGCACUCCACGAUCUCAGCCUUUUCUCUGGGACAAGAAAAGAAAACAUUGAACCAUGAGCACACGAGGGUAUUUUCUGGGCAGCGCAAACUUCUUAGGAGGCAGCCACAUAUAUUAAAGCAAAACUACUACAAAUGUCUUGUCUUUUAUGCUGAUUACUCUAACUGAGAACAUUCCCUGGUUUAUGCUGCCUGCUCUGACAGAAGAGUAACUGCAGUAAAGGCAAGAAAUUCUUCUGUUCAUGUCCAAGGUUAAGGCAAUCUGUAGGAAAGAAUGCAAAUGACAGAGAAAUGAGCAUCUAAUUUCAGCAAGGUCUGAAUCAUUAUCUGCAACAUUUUGGAUGAUUCAGCAUAUUUCCUGGCUUUUAAAAAUUAUUUUAAUUUUUUUUUUUAAUUCAAGACUCUCACUUUUUUUCUCUGCUGUAUCUGAAGCUGUAGUCCUAUUUUUCAUCUUGUUGACUCUAGGAUAAAUCAGGUCUAGGUAUGUUGGAGGUCUAGUACUGGAGAAACACUGGGGUGAAAUGGGACUGAGGAGAGACCCAUCACUUGGUGUUACGUGUCUCCAGAUCACGGCAGAGACUAUAGGCUGGGAAUAAGUAGUGCAUGUUGAAAAAUCCUUAAGAAAUACUGCAGCUUUUUAGAUGAAAGGGCUGGAGUUUGGGGUUAAUGGCUGUGGCAAUAAAAAGAAUGGAAACAAAUGUAAUUGCAAACAAGAAUCUCUUCCAAGGAGAAGCCUUUCUUCUUCCCCAGCUUGAAUAUGGAAAUCUAUUGCUCCUCACUGGAAAACAAAGCUGUGAAUGCAUUAUUAAAAACUGGACUGAUUAAUGUCUUAACCUUUUGAUUUAAACGUGAGAGCAGAGCUUUUAAGAUUAAGUAUAUUAAUUGUUCCACUGAUAUGUGAUAUUUGCUAUUGAGGGUUGAAUGUUUGAAAGCAGUUUCAAUUUUUUUUAGUCACAAUCUACUACAGAGGCAAUUAAUUAUAAGCACAAGCUAGAGGCAAGAGGGGAGAGAGAAAAGGAACAGCUGGAGUAGGUAGCAAAAAGAGAGUAGUGGGAGGAAAUGAAAUGGAAAAAUAUACAUAACCACAUUUGCUGGAGAAAAGUAUAAACUUGAGUUCUUUGAAAAUGUUCUUGUUGACAUGAACGUGGAAUUUUUAUUCACCAUCAUUUCUUUCUCCAAAAGUAUAGCUUUUUACUUGAAAUCUCUGUAUUUCACAUAAUUUAAAUUCUAAGGAAUCUUCAUUCCCUGGUGUUCCCCCAGAUGUGUGAGAUGAAAGCUAAAAUACCUGGCUUUAAUAAAAAUUGAAUGAAAACUCCAAAUCCAUAGCAAAUAUUACCGAUCACCUGUAAAAUUAUAAAAACAUGUUUUCAUGCUCUUA